rnacentral:rRNA from 1 species
AAUACAAGGCAUACGGCUCAGUAACGCGUAGUCAACCUACCCUAUGGACGGGGAUAAUCUCGGGAAACUGAGCAUAAUACCCGGCAGACCACUUAUCCUGGAAUGGUUAGUGGUUAAAAUGAUUCGUCGCCAUAGGAUGGGACUGCGGCCUAUCAGCUUGUUGGUGAGGUAAUGGCCCACCAAGGCGAUUACAGGUACGGGCUCUGAGAGGAGAGGCCCGGAGAUGGGUACUGAGACAAGGACCCAGGCCCUAUGGGGCGCAGCAGGCGAGAAAACUUUGCAAUGUGCGAAAGCACGACAAGGUUAAUCCGAGUGAUUUCUGCUAAAGGAAUCUUUUGUUAGUUCUAAAAAUACUAGUGAAUAAGGGGUGGGNAAGUUCUGGUGUCAGCCGCCGCGGUAAAACCAGCACCUCAAGUGGUCAGGAGGAUUAUUGGGCCUAAAGCAUCCGUAGCCUGUUCUAUAAGUUUGCGGUUAAAUCUAUACGCUCAACGUAUAGGCUGCCGUAAAUACUGUAGAACUAG